AACGAACGCUGGCGGCAGGCUUAACACAUGCAAGUCGAACGCAUGCCUUCGGGCAUGAGUGGCAGACGGGCGAGUAACGCGUGGGAACCUACCCCUUGGUACGGGAUAGCUCCGGGAAACUGGCGAUAAUACCGUAUGUGUCCUGAGGGACAAAGAUUCAUCGCCAAGGGAUGGGCCCGCGUCGGAUUAGCUAGUUGGUGGGGUAACGGCCUACCAAGGCGACGAUCCGUAGCUGGUCUAAGAGGAUGAUCAGCCACAUUGGGACUGAGACACGGCCCAAACUCCUACGGGAGGCAGCAGUGGGGAAUAUUGGACAAUGGGCGCAAGCCUGAUCCAGCCAUGCCGCGUGAGUGAUGAAGGCCCUAGGGUUGUAAAGCUCUUUCACCGGUGACGAUAAUGACGGUAACCGGAGAAGAAGCCCCGGCUAACUUCGUG
rnacentral:rRNA from 1 species